CCCACCCGCAAUGGGAGCGAGCGCAGCAAGCGACCAACAGCCCAAUCCAUUAGUUUUUGUCUGUUUUCAUUUACUAGAUAUCUAUCGACAACUGACCCUAGAUAGGUAGUAUUUUGCCAAUUCACUACAAAUUUUCAUUGGAAAAAAAGCAAAAAAUCAAAAAUGCUGGAUGUGCACAUUAUUUAACAUUCUUUAAAGUUAUUUUUUCCGGUUUAGAGAAAAAGAGAUAAAGAAUCGCUACCAGCUGGGACUCACGUAAGGGACGAUGAACAGGCUCUCUAUCUACUUUUCUAGUCUAAUCUGGAGGAGGCCCUGAGGAGGAGGGGGAUGAAUGUGCUCCUUCCUAUUGAUGCUAUUGGUCUUUGGUCACAGGAGAAGUGUCAUAAUUUCGAGUCUGGGUUGAGAACUCAUGGAAAGGAGUUUUAUUUAAUUCAGAAGAACAAGGUACAAAUGAGAUGAGUGGGUGAGAGCCCGUACAGUUCUACUACUCUGGAAAAAAACAGAAAGACUCGACAUUCACUUACAAAACUCGUCUAGAAAAGAAGAAAUACGUCCUGCAUCCUGGUAUAACGGACUAUAUGGAUCGUUUCCUGGAGGAGCAAGAGAAUUGUGGGAGAACCAAGGGAGUGAAUAUCCUUCGGUACUGGGGAGUGAUAUCGGUACUGCAGAGGCUCCAACAAGUGUCCAUCCAAGUUCUCCACCCUCCAUUUUACCUCCUCCACCCCUCCCUCCCCUUUCACUCCCUGAAUUGUCGAGUGCAUCGCUCACUCCCUUCAACCCAACAUCAGAGCCCUCAGGAAACUGCACACCCCUAAAUCAUCCCCUCGAAGUUCAUCAAUCCCCCCAGGAUUUCACACCAUCAUCUGACAAUGUUACGCCUUAUUUAUCGCCUUCACAUCUGUUUUAUUUGAACGAUCAUUCAAGAAGUGAAUUACAAAUUGUUGGACAGUCUUAUUGGAUUCACUGCCCCCGCCGCUGUCAUCACUUAUUCGAAAAUGAGAUGAUCAAGAAAAAAUUGAAUCGUUGCUCACGUAUUGUGUUUUUCAC